rnacentral:rRNA from 1 species
CGAAGGAUGCAAGCGUUAUCCGGAUUCAUUGGGUUUAAAGGGUGCGUAGGCGGACUUGUAAGUCAGUGGUGAAAUCUCUUCGCUUAACGAAGAAACUGCCAUUGAUACUGCAAGUCUAGAGUAUAGAUGACGUUGGCGGAAUAUGACAUGUAGUGGUGAAAUACUUAGAUAUGUCAUAGAACACCGAUUGCGAAGGCAGCUAACGAAACUAUAACUGACGCUGAGGCACGAAAGUGCGGGGAUCAAACAGGAUUAGAUACCCUGGUAGUCCGCACCGUAAACGAUGAUUACUCGUUGUUGGCGAUAUGACAGUCAGCGACCAAGCGAAAGCGAUAAGUAAUCCACCUGGGGAGUACGCCGGCAACGGUG